GAUGAACGCUGGCGGCGUGCCUAAUACAUGCAAGUCGAGCGAACGGACGAGGCGCUUGCUUCUCUGAUGUUAGCGGCGGACGGGUGAGUAACACGUGGAUAACCUACCUAUAAGACUGGGAUAACUUCGGGAAACCGGAUCUAAUACCGGAUAAUAUUUUGAACCGCAUGGUUCAAAAGUGAAAGACGGUCUUGCUGUCACUUAUAGAUGGAUCCGCGCUGCAUUAGCUAGUUGGUAAGGUAACGGCUUACCAAGGCAACGAUGCAUAGCCGACCUGAGAGGGUGAUCGGCCACACUGGAACUGAGACACGGUCCAGACUCCUACGGGAGGCAGCAGUAGGGAAUCUUCCGCAAUGGGCGAAAGCCUGACGGAGCAACGCCGCGUGAGUGAUGAAGGUCUUCGGAUCGUAAAGCUCUGUUAUUAGGGAAGAACAUAUGUGUAAGUAACCGUGCACAUCUUGACGGUACCUAAUCAGAAAGCCACGGCUAACUACGUG
rnacentral:rRNA from 1 species